rnacentral:rRNA from 1 species
UACGGAGGAUCCAAGCGUUAUCCGGAUUUAUUGGGUUUAAAGGGUGCGUAGGCGGCUUAUUAAGUCAGGGGUGAAAGACGGUAGCUCAACUAUCGCAGUGCCCUUGAUACUGAUGGGCUUGAAUGUACUAGAGGUAGGCGGAAUGUGACAAGUAGCGGUGAAAUGCAUAGAUAUGUCACAGAACACCGAUUGCGAAGGCAGCUCACAAAACUGUAACUGACGCUGAGGCACGAAAGCGUGGGGAGCAAACAGG